rnacentral:rRNA from 1 species
UCUGGUUGAUCCUGCCAGUAGUUAUAUGCUUGUCUCAAAGAUUAAGCCAUGCAUGUCUAAGUACACACGAAUUAAAAGUGAAACCGCAAAAGGCUCAUUAUAUCAGUUAUGGUUCCUUAGAUCGUUAACAGUUACUUGGAUAACUGUGGUAAUUCUAGAGCUAAUACAUGCAAUUAAAACAUGAACCUUAUGGGACAUGUGCUUUUAUUAGGCUAAAACCAAGCGAUCGCAAGAUCGUUAUAUUGGUUGAACUCUAGAUAACAUGCAGAUCGUAUGGUCUUGUACCGACGACAGAUCUUUCAAAUGUCUGCCCUAUCAACUUUUGAUGGUAGUAUCUAGGACUACCAUGGUUGCAACGGGUAACGGGGAAUCAGGGUUCGAUUCCGGAGAGGGAGCCUGAGAAACGGCUACCACAUCUAAGGAAGGCAGCAGGCGCGUAAAUUACCCACUCCCAGCUCGGGGAGGUAGUGACGAAAAAUAACAAUACAGGACUCAUAUCCGAGGCCCUGUAAUUGGAAUGAGUACACUUUAAAUCCUUUAACAAGGACCAAUUGGAGGGCAAGUCUGGUGCCAGCAGCCGCGGUAAUUCCAGCUCCAAUAGCGUAUAUUAAAGUUGUUGCGGUUAAAACGUUCGUAGUUGAACUUGUGCUUCAUACGGGUAGUACAACUUACAAUUGUGGUUAGUACUAUAGUCAUGUAUACCCUUACAUACCCUCUUAUUAGAUUAAGUUAUGUUAGAAUACACAUGGCGCUAAGCUUUUUGUCUGAGCUUAGCUUUAUUUUUAGUCAGUAGACAAGAAGACCUCGAUCUGUACACAUCAUUGAAUAAACCCUCAAUUUGUUAAGCGAAACCUUUCGUUUUGUUUUAACCCCUCUUUAAUCGACAAAGAAGUCGAUGGGUGCUUAACUGAGGAGUUCAACCUCCAACCUACAGACGACAACGAAGUCGUUUCUGGAGGCAACGAUCUUUUGGACACAACGGUCUCUGCUCGGAAGGCCCUAUCAACCUUCCACAUAACUGGCGACGAGGAUCAACACAGAAAAAAUAAGGAAACCAGCCAUACGUCAAGAAAUUCAUUCGGAACCACAGUAAGCUGUUCUUAUGUAAUUUAAGUCCGGAAAUCUUCAAUACGUUAACCAAUGCACGUGGCCGAGUAUAAAGAGGAACAUAAAACAUAACUGGAAAGCUUUGGAACACCUGCAUGUACGGAGUGACGAAACCCAACCUGGAGAAGAAGAACUUAAGCUGAUAAAAUUUUUUUUUCUUCGACAAAGCUCUUUAUACUAGCUAAGAUAAGAAACUAAAAGCUAACUAUUAAUACUUGCGAACCUCGAGAGAAAACAAAGAAAUCUAAAAUGAACGAAAAUAGCUUAGCCGCAUUUAACUCAACAAUGAACUGCAUCAAGUUAAUACAAAAUUUUGAUGGUACUGAUACAAAUCAAUUGCCAAAUUUAAUUACACAAAUAGAAAAUAUCCUUCCUUCUUUUGAUGUUUUCGACACGAAUACAAAAAAUAUUUUGUUUGGCUUUAUAAAAAAUAAAUUUGUGGGAUUAUGCAGGCCAGUGAUUCAUAGGCAUGGAAAUAUGACAGAGUGGGAAAGUUUUAAACGUGUAAUUCUGAAAAAUUUCGGGGAAAAAGAAACAAGCGAUGUCUUAAUGGAUAUGUUAAAAUUGUGUCGAGUGGAAUCAACU